rnacentral:rRNA from 1 species
CCUACGGGUGACAGCAGUGAGGAAUAUUGGUCAAUGGACGAGAGUCUGAACCAGCCAAGUAGCGUGAAGGAUGACUGCCCUAUGGGUUGUAAACUUCUUUUAUAUGGGAAUAAAAUGUUCCACGUGUGGGAUUUUGUAUGUACCAUAUCAAUAAGGAUCGGCUAACUCCGUGCCAGCAGCCGCGGUAAUACGGAGGAUCCGAGCGUUAUCCGGAUUUAUUGGGUUUAAAGGGUGCGUAGGUGGAUUGUUAAGUCAGUUGUGAAAGUUUGCGGCUCAACCGUAAAAUUGCAGUUGAAACUGGCAGUCUUGAGUACAGGAGAGGUGGGCGGAAUUCGUGGUGUAGCGGUGAAAUGCUUAGAUAUCACGAAGAACUCCGAUUGCGAAGGCAGUUCACUGGACUGCAACUGACACUGAGGCUCGAAAGUGUGGGUAUCAAACAGGAUUAGAUACCCCAGUAGUC